CUGAAAAUGGCCUUUGACGAGGAAGUGGGGUCCGACAGUGCCGAGCUCUUCCGUAAGCAGCUGCACAAGCUGCGGUACCCACCAGAUGUCAGGGGUACCUUUGCGUUCACCUUGGGGUCUGCCCACAUAUCUGGCCAGCAGCCCCGGGCCACCAAGGACAAAGGUUCUUCUCUCAGAACCCUGUCCCGGAACCUGGUGAAGAACGCCAAGAAGACCAUCGGGCGUCAGUACAUCACUCGGAAGAAGUACAACCCCCCCAGCUGGGAGCAUCGGGGCCAGCCGCCCACUGAGGACCAGGAGGAUGAGAUCUCAGUGUCGGAGGAGCUGGAGCCCAGCACGCUGACCCCAUCCUCAGCCCUGAAGCCCUCGGACCGCAUGACCAUGAGCAGUCUGGUGGAGAGGGCGUGUUGCCGUGACUACCAGCGGCUUGGCCUGGGCACCCUGAGCAGCAGCCUGAGCCGGGCCAAGUCUGAGCCCUUUCGUAUCUCCCCAGUGAACCGCAUGUAUGCCAUCUGCCGCAGCUACCCAGGGCUGCUGAUCGUUCCCCAGAGUGUCCAGGACAAUGCCCUGCAGCGUGUGUCCCGCUGCUACCGCCAGAACCGCUUCCCUGUGGUCUGCUGGCGCAGUGGGCGCUCCAAGGCUGUGCUGCUGCGCUCUGGGGGUCUGCACAGCAAGGGCAUGGUCAGCCUCUUCAAGGCCCAGAAUGCACCUUCUCCAGGCCAGUCCCAGGCGGACUCCAGCAGCUUGGAGCAAGAGAAGUACCUGCAGGCAGUGGUCAGCUCCAUGCCCCGCUACGCAGACGCGUCGGGACGCAACACACUCAGCGGCUUCUCCUCAGCCCACAUGGGUGGUCACGGUGAGGGGGCUGCGGGGUGGGAGGAGGAACAAGGAGGACUUCCGAGGGUAGCUGUGGUGCCAUUUGCGGCAGGUGGGCCAGCAAGGGGCAGAAGUGGCCCUGGUCGGGGAUGUUUGGGUGUGGGAUAAGGAAAGGGUCCCUCCAAGCACCCGGCAGAGGCGGGAUGUCCGCUUAGACCAGGUAAGUGUCCUGAGGCCUUCCCUGCUCUGACCACAUCCACAUCCAUCCACUGCCCUCAAAACAUCCCUGGGCUAGUCCUUCCCACCCCUCCUGCGUUCCGUCCCCUCCCACUGUGUCCAGACUGUCUGCAGAGCCUCCUGCCUGGCUCUGUCCUCACCUUUCCCGGCUCCCUGGACUUUGUCUUUGCUGGUCUCGCCAUUCCCUCCCCCACCACCAUGCAUAGCCCUACAGGCACCCUGCAUAUGCUGAGGUUCAUCCGGGCCAGGUGCUGUCCCACGCUUGGCCCCACCCGUGAGGCAUCCCGUGUAUCCCUCUGCCCCUUCCUUUUUGCCGGGGAGGCAACAUGGUUGUAAAUGUGUGAAAUGCCUUCUGUCCCUGGGAGGUCAGGGGCCAACAGUGUGCAUGGUGCUGUGCGUCUGCUCUCGGCACCCACUGUCCACAUGGGGUGCACAGUUGUGUCCAGUGAGAAGCUUUCAGGCAGGAGGUGGAAACCCCCCAGGGCCCAAAGGGCACGCGGGUGCUUCUGUAAGUUCAGAAAGGGAGGGCUGUGUAGAGGCCAGCUCCUCCCUGUCCUCUGCCCACCACACUUAACCAGUCUCACGUCGGCUCCUCAGUGGCUCUUCUCUGACACUCCGGCCUU